AGGCAACUCUGAACCAGCCAUGCCGCGUGAAGGAUGACGGCCCUAUGGGUUGUAAACUUCUUUUAUAUGGGAAGAAACUUGUCUACGUGUAGACAACUGACGGUACUCUACGAAUAAGGAUCGGCUAACUCCGUGCCAGCAGCCGCGGUAAUACGGAGGAUCCAAGCGUUAUCCGGAUUCAUUGGGUUUAAAGGGUCCGUAGGCGGAUCUUUAAGUCAGUGGUGAAAGCCGACAGCUCAACUGUCGAACUGCCAUUGAUACUGGAAACCUUGAGUACAAAUGAAGUAGGCGGAAUGAGUCAUGUAGCGGUGAAAUGCAUAGAUAUGACUCAGAACACCGAUUGCGAAGGCAGCUUACUAACAUGUAACUGACGCUGAGGGACGAAAGCGUGGGGAGCGAACAGGAUUAGAUACCCUGGUAGUCCACGCCGUAAACGAUCAUCACUCGCUGUUGGCGAUAUACUGUCAGCGGCCAAGCGAAAGUA
rnacentral:rRNA from 1 species